AACGCGAAGAACCUUACCUGGGCUUGAACUACUGGUAGUAAGCCGUUGGAAACAUCGGCUGAUCCGCAAGGAAGCCAGCAGAGGUGCUGCAUGGUUGUCGUCAGCUCGUGUCGUGAGAUGUUGGGUUAAGUCCCGCAACGAGCGCAACCCCUAUCUCAUGUUGCUAUUCCCGCAAGGGAAGCACUCUUGAGAAACUGCCUUCGAUAAGAAGGAGGAAGGUGGGGACGACGUCAAAUCCUCAUGGCCCUUAUGUCCAGGGCAACACACGUGCUACAAUGGGCGGUACAAAGCGCUGCAAACCCGCGAGGGGGAGCUAAUCGCAAAAAACCGUUCUCAGUUCGGAUCGCAGGCUGCAACUCGCCUGCGUGAAGCUGGAAUCGCUAGUAAUGGCGUAUCAGAAUGAUGCCGUGAAUACGUUCCCGGGCCUUGUACACACCGGCUAC
rnacentral:rRNA from 1 species